rnacentral:rRNA from 1 species
UCAAGUUAUUAAGGGUGCAGGGCGGAUGCCUUGGCACUAGGAGCCGAUGAAGGACGUGAUAAGCUGCGAUAAGCUUCGGGGAGUUGCACGUAAACUUUGAUCCGAAGAUUUCCGAAUGAGGAAACUCACUUAGAGUAAUGUCUAAGUAUCAUUAAGUGAAUACAUAGCUUAAUGAGGGGAACUCAGGGAACUGAAACAUCUAAGUACCUGAAGGAAGAGAAAGAAAUUCGAUUCCGUAAGUAGCGGCGAGCGAACGCGGAUUAGCCCAAACCAAUAAAGUUUUCUUUAUUGGGGUUGCGGACAUAUCAUAACGAAGAGGUAUCGUAAUUGAAGAGGUUUGGAAAGACCCACCACAGAAGGUAAUAGUCCUGUAUGUUAAACGAGAAGACUUCAGAUAUGAUCCAGAGUACCACGGGACACGUGAAACCCUGUGGGAAGCAGGAGGGACCACCCUCCAAGGCUAAAUACUACCUAGUGACCGAUAGCGUAUAGUACCGUGAGGGAAAGGUGAAAAGAACCCCGGGAGGGGAGUGAAAUAGAACCUGAAACCCUGCACUUACAAGCUGUGGAAGCACAUUUCUUGUGUGACCGCGUACUUUUUGUAGAACGGGCCAACGAGUUACGUUAAGUAGCAAGGUUAAGCACUUAAGGUGCGGAGCCGUAGCGAAAGCGAGUUUUAACUGAGCGUUCAGUUACUUGACGUAGACCCGAAACCGGGCGACCUACCCAUGAGCAGGAUGAAGCGAAAGUAAAAUUUCGUGGAGGUCCGAACCCACGAGCGUUGAAAAGCUCGGGGAUGACUUGUGGGUAGCGGUGAAAUUCCAAUCGAGCCCGGAGAUAGCUGGUUCUCCCCGAAAUAGCUUUAGGGCUAGCCUCAAGGUGAGAGAUACGGAGGUAGAGCACUGAAUGUCCUAGGGGGUAUUGCACCUACCGAAGACUAUCAAACUCCGAAUGCCGUCAUCUUAUACUUGGGAGUCAGACUGUGGGUGAUAAGAUUCAUAGUCGAAAGGGCAACAGCCCAGAUCGUCAGCUAAGGUCCCUAAAUGUAAGUUAAGUGGUAAAGGAUGUGGGAUUGCACAGACAACCAGGAUGUUGGCUUAGAAGCAGCCACUCAUUCAAAGAGUGCGUAAUAGCUCACUGGUCGAGUGAUCCUGCGCCGAAGAUUUCCGGGGCUAAAACUUACUACCGAAGCUACGGCAUCAGUAAUGAUGGGUAGGGGAGCUUCCCAUACAGGUUGAAGCAUGACCGUAAGGACAUGUGGACAGUAUGGGAGUGAGAAUGUUGGCAUGAGUAGCGAGAUGUGGGUGAGAAUCCCACAGGCCGUAAACCCAAGGUUUCCAGGGGAAGGUUCGUCCGCCCUGGGUUAGUCGGGACCUAAGCUGAGGCCGAAAGGCGUAGGUGAUGGACAACAGGUUGAUAUUCCUGUACUACCGAUAACCGUUUGAGAGAAGGGAUGACACAGUAGGAUAAGCUAAGCACACUGUUGGUUAUGUGUGCCCAAGCAUUGAGGCAGUCAAAGCAGGCAAAUCCGCUUUGAUAAUGCUGGGAUGUGAUGGGGAGCGAAAUUUAGUAGCGAAGUAGCUGAUUUCACACUGUCAAGAAAAGUCUCUAUCGAGGUUAAAGGUACCCGUACCGCAAACCGACACAGGUGGGUGAGGAGAGUAUCCUAAGGCCAGCGAGAGAACUGUUGUUAAGGAACUCGGCAAAAUGACCCCGUAACUUAGGGAUAAGGGGUGCCACCAUCCGGUGGCCGCAGAGAAUAGGCCCAAGCGACUGUUUACCAAAAACAUAGGUUUCUGCUAAGUCGCAAGACGAUGUAUAGGAGCUGACGCCUGCCCGGUGCUGGAAGGUUAAGGGGAUCUGUUAGAGCAAUCGAAGCAGUGAACUUAAGCCCCAGUAAACGGCGGCCGUAACUAUAACGGUCCUAAGGUAGCGAAAUUCCUUGUCGGGUAAGUUCCGACCCGCACGAAAGGCGUAACGAUUUGGGCACUGUCUCAACAACAGACUCGGUGAAAUUGUAAUUCCGGUGAAGAUGCCGGAUACCUGCGACAGGACGGAAAGACCCCAUGGAGCUUUACUGUAGCUUGACAUUGGGUCUUGGUACUACAUGUACAGGAUAGGUGGGAGGCUUUGAAACCAGGACGCCAGUUUUGGCGGAGCCAUCCUUGGGAUACCACCCUUGUAGUACUGGGACUCUAACCAUAGGCCAUGAAUCUGGUCUUGGGACACUGUCAGGUGGGCAGUUUGACUGGGGCGGUCGCCUCCCAAAAGGUAACGGAGGCGCUCAAAGGUUCUCUCAGUACGGUCGGAAAUCGUACGUAGAGUGUAAAGGCAAAAGAGAGCUUGAUUGCAAGACAUACAGGUCGAGCAAGGAUGAAAAUCGGACUUAGUGAUCCGGUGGUUCUGCGUGGAAGGGCCAUCGCUCAACGGAUAAAAGCUACCCUGGGGAUAACAGGCUUAUCUCCCCCAAGAGUCCACAUCGACGGGGAGGUUUGGCACCUCGAUGUCGGCUCAUCACAUCCUGGGGCUGUAGUAGGUCCCAAGGGUUGGGCUGUUCGCCCAUUAAAGUGGUACGCGAGCUGGGUUCAGAACGUCGUGAGACAGUUCGGUCCCUAUCCGUCGCAGGCGUAGGAAAUUUGAGAAGACCUGUCCUUAGUACGAGAGGACCGGGAUGGACGUACCUCUGGUGUACCAGUUGUCCUGCCAAGGGCAUGGCUGGGUAGCUAUGUACGGAAUGGAUAAGCGCUGAAAGCAUCUAAGCGCGAAGCCAACUUCAAGAUAAGAUUUCCCACCGCAAGGGUAAGACCCCAGAAAGACUAUCUGGUUGAUAGGUCGAAGGUGUAAGUGCAGCAAUGUAUUUAGCUUAUCGAUACUAAUAGGUCGAGGACUUGACCAA